AUGGACUGGGACAUCUUGCUUCCCUGUCCUCCCUGGCUAUCUAGCAGCCACUCUCCUCCACUCCAGCAUGGAUGCAGCUGGACUAUCAGCAUGACUCCUCUCCCCGUCUCUCUCCACUUCCGACACUGCUGCUGCCUUUUGGACCAGGGAGGGAGGGAUCUAGGCCCAUUGUUAACACCCUCAACUCCCACAGCUGGCCUUCUAGAAGGUUCCCUGUUUCAGCCCUGCCACUCAUUGGGUCGUUGACAUGGCAGCUGAGGCUGUCCUGGAGCCCUGCACCAAUCACGGGCCUGCACUUGGACCAAUCACAGGCCUGUAGCUGCUAUAUAAGCAGCACUCCCCAUCCACUUCUCAGAUUGGUCUAAGAGGGCUCGCUCCAGCGUGCGGUGUGUGCUGCAGCUCAGGCCCUGCUAAAGUAAAGCUUAGGUUUGGUGGUCCUGGAAACCAGCUUGUAAUUUAUUUCUUGGGUCGUGUGGGCUCCAAAAGUCCUGUAAAUGUGCUUGAGAUUCUUAUUCUGAGUGGUGUGGAUAGAGCAAUCAGUUCAAAAGAAAACACUCUGUUCAGAAGAGCUCCAGGAGCAGCAGCCAGUGAGCAAAAGAACUCUAGGCUGAUUUGCAACAUUUCUGGGGACCCAGAUGGGCCACCUCCUUUUGGAGGGUUCCCAAGAAGAGUGCAGACCUUCCUCGUGGGUGACAAGCAAGCACCUGAACCUUUCUUCAGUGUUGGGCACAACUGCAGAUGGUGUCACCCUCGUAUGGGGGACCCCAGAGGAUGUCGCAUACCACAGAAAACCCACUGCACUGCCAGCCCUUGGAGAAGAAAUUGAAAAUGCAUGCGCAACAAUCUCAACAACCAAGGUCACCCGAGCAGCAGCUCUCCGUGCUAGUGAACAUCUGGGAGGCGAACGGCACCACUGUGAGCACCCCUGUAAUUGCAGAGGCCAAA
rnacentral:lncRNA from 1 species